rnacentral:rRNA from 1 species
GACGAACGCUGGCGGCGUGCUUAACACAUGCAAGUCGAACGGAAAGGCCCUGCUUUUGUGGGGUGCUCGAGUGGCGAACGGGUGAGUAACACGUGAGUAACCUGCCCUUGCCUUUGGGAUAACUUCAGGAAACUGGGGCUAAUACCGGAUAGGAGCUCCUGCUGCAUGGUGGGGGUUGGAAAGUUUCGGCGGUUGGGGAUGGACUCGCGGCUUAUCAGCUUGUUGGUGGGGUAGUGGCUUACCAAGGCUUUGACGGGUAGCCGGCCUGAGAGGGUGACCGGCCACAUGGGGACUGAGAUACGGCCCAGAGUCGUACGGGAGGCAGCAGUGGGGAAGAUUGCACAAUGGGCGGAAGCCUGAUGCAGCAACGCCGCGUGAGGGAUGACGGCCUUCGGGUUGUAAACCGCUUUCGCCUGUGACGAAGCGUGAGUGACGGUAAUGGGUAAAGAAGCACCGGCUAACUACGUG